AAAAAAAAAAAAAAGACAAUCAAAAGUUUAAAUUUUUAAGAGACUGGUAAUUAUUUUGCUAUUUGGUGCUUGAAUUAGUUGUUUAUGUUUAUUUUUCCCUUUUUUGUUCAUGUUUUUGAGGGUAUAUGAUUCUUUGUUAGUGAUGUUUUCUGACUUUUUUUGGUUAUUAAUUUAAUUUUGAUCCGAUACUUAUAAUUUAUCCUAUUAAUUUUUUCUCUUUUAAUUUGUUGUUUGUUGUUGUUGUUUUGAUGAAUGAGGUUAAAAAUGAAAAUUUCAUUUGAUAAUCCGACGGAAAUGGUCACUGGAAAAUCGCCCAUGGUGGUGUGCAGUGGCUCUCCAGCGAAGGUGGUUAGAAUAGGUGAAGAAGCAGUACAAUAUAGAGAUCUCGCGACGAAGAGCACAAAUCCGGUGUUUGUUUUCCUUGAACAUGUUCAAGCUGGCCGAAAACGGCCUCUAAGAUCAACGGUCUGAAAAUUCAAACUACUCCAAUCUAAAUAUAAAUUUGUGGGUUCUAUAGAGGAGAAAGAGAUAAUUCAAUAGUGGUGGACUGGUGGUGGCCGAAAAGGCUCUCCCAAAAUGGAGGUCUUGAGCAAAAAAGAAGGAAGAAAGAGAGUAUGUGAAUUAUCAAUCAAGUGUAUAUGAUCCACGGUAAAAUCUAUACAUUUACUCAAUCCAAUGGUCCACAUUAAAAUAAAUAAACUUGUGCAUCAUGCACAAAUUUAACAAUUUGUGCAUUCUAAAUGCCACCC
rnacentral:lncRNA from 1 species